rnacentral:rRNA from 1 species
UACGUAGGGUGCGAGCGUUGUCCGGAAUUAUUGGGCGUAAAGAGCUCGUAGGCGGUGUGUCACGUCGGCCGUGAAAACCUGCAGCUUAACUGUGGGCGUGCGGUCGAUACGGGCAUCACUGGAGUUCGGCAGGGGAGACUGGAAUUCCUGGUGUAGCGGUGAAAUGCGCAGAUAUCGGGAGGAACACCGGUGGCGAAGGCGGUUCUCUGGGCCUGUACUGACGCUGAGGAGCGAAAGCGUGGGGAGCAAACAGG